AUGGAGCAGUUGGAAUAAGAUUUUGCCCAUGCAGUAGCUUGUCCAUUGGCCCCUGUAAUUUUCUCCCUAGGUGAAGCUCGGCUGGAGACAUACCGAUGGUUUCCUGUACCGCUGAAUUAAUGGCGAACCGUAGUUCAGGUAGGUUGGUCUGAGGAUGGUAUGCUGUAGUCAUCUUCUGGGUGACUUUCCAUUUUGCACAGAUGUCCUGAAAGACGGCUGAUGUGAACUGUGUGCCUCGGUCAGACAGAAUGAAAUCGGGUACCCCCCAUCGAGUGAGGAUUUCUUCUCUGAGGUGUGAAGCAACAGUCUGAGAAUUUGCCUUUCGCAAAGGGAACAGUUCUACCCACCGGGAAUAAUAAUCCACGAACACUAGUAGAUAUUCAUGUUGGUGGGAGCUGCGAGGCAGUGGACCCAUGAUAUCUACUCCCAACAUCUCGUUUGGACGACUGGUGGUGGUCUGUUGAAUUUUCCCAGCAGGUUUGCGGUUCUCAUUUUUCAAGGUCUGGCAUUUCAUGCACCUUUUUACAUACUGUUUUACAGAUGUCCACAUGGAGGGCCAGAAAGCGACCUGAUGCACUCUCUGAUGUCUACUGCUGAAAUUGGAAAUCCAAAAUCCUCCUUCUGAUUGGAGUAUAAAUGGCAUCCAGGUACGGAAUACAUUCGGGAUAACGCAUCUGGUGCUUCAUUGAGUUUUCCCUUCCGAUACUCAACCACAAAGUCAAAUUUUUGCAGUCGGAGUGCCCAACGGAUUAGACGUACUGUGGUUUUUGUGGAAUUCAUGACCCACUGUAGAGCUGAAUGAUCCGUGACUACUGUGAAGAGUUUUGGUUCAAGGUAAUAUUGCCAUUUUUCUAGCGCCCAUACUAUUGCCA
ensembl:lncRNA